AGCCAGAAGUGGCUAAUGGUGGAUACCUAGGCACACAGAGGCGAAGAAGGACGUGGUUACCAACGAAAAGCUUCGGGGAGCUGGAAGCAAGCAACGAGCCGAAGAUAUCCGAAUGGGGCAACCCAGAAUACAGCUUACUGAAUAUAUAGGUAAGCAUGAGCGAACCCAGCGAAUUGAAACAUCUUAGUAGCUGGAGGAAGAGAAAUCAAAAGAGAUUCCCCUAGUAGUGGUGAGCGAAAGGGGAAGAGCCUAAACCAAGGUGCUUGCACUUUGGGGUAGUGGGACAGCGAUAUCGAAUCCGGAGAUUAGACGAAGCAGCUAAGUACUGCACCAGAGAAGGUGAAAGUCCUGUAGUCGAAAAUUAAAAGGAUAGUAGCUGAAUCCCGAGUAGCAUGGGACACGGGAAAUCCCAUGUGAAUCAGCGAGGACCAUCUCGUAAGGCUAAAUACUACUGUGUGACCGAUAGAGAACAAGUACCGCGAGGGAAAGGUG
rnacentral:rRNA from 1 species